UCAAGUGAAGAAGCGCAUACGGUGGAUGCCUUGGCAGUCAGAGGCGAUGAAAGACGUGGUAGCCUGCGAAAAGCUUCGGGGAGUCGGCAAACAGACUUUGAUCCGGAGAUGUCUGAAUGGGGGAACCCAGCCAUCAUAAGAUGGUUAUCACACACUGAAUACAUAGGUGUGUGAGGCGAACCAGGGGAACUGAAACAUCUAAGUACCCUGAGGAAAAGAAAUCAACCGAGAUUCCCUUAGUAGUGGCGAGCGAACGGGGACUAGCCCUUAAGCUUCUUUGAUUUUAGCGGAACGCUCUGGAAAGUGCGGCCAUAGUGGGUGAUAGCCCUGUACGCGAAAGGAUCUUAGAAGUGAAAUCGAGUAGGACGGAGCACGAGAAACUUUGUCUGAACAUGGGGGGACCAUCCUCCAAGGCUAAAUACUACUGACUGACCGAUAGUGAACCAGUACCGUGAGGGAAAGGCGAAAAGAACCCCGGAGAGGGGAGUGAAAUAGAACCUGAAACCGUAUGCGUACAAGCAGUGGGAGCCUACUUUGUUAGGUGACUGCGUACCUUUUGUAUAAUGGGUCAGCGACUUAUUUUCAGUGGCGAGCUUAACCGAAUAGGGGAGGCGUAGCGAAAGCGAGUCUUAAUAGGGCGUCUAGUCGCUGGGAAUAGACCCGAAACCGGGCGAUCUAUCCAUGGGCAGGUUGAAGGUUAGGUAACACUGACUGGAGGACCGAACCGACUACCGUUGAAAAGUUAGCGGAUGACCUGUGGAUCGGAGUGAAAGGCUAAUCAAGCUCGGAGAUAGCUGGUUCUCCUCGAAAGCUAUUUAGGUAGCGCCUCGUGUAUCACUGCUGGGGGUAGAGCACUGUUUCGGCUAGGGGGUCAUCCCGACUUACCAAACCGAUGCAAACUCCGAAUACCAGCAAGUGUCAGCACGGGAGACACACGGCGGGUGCUAACGUCCGUCGUGAAAAGGGAAACAACCCAGACCGUCAGCUAAGGUCCCAAAGUCAUGGUUAAGUGGGAAACGAUGUGGGAAGGCUUAGACAGCUAGGAGGUUGGCUUAGAAGCAGCCAUCCUUUAAAGAAAGCGUAAUAGCUCACUAGUCGAGUCGGCCUGCGCGGAAGAUGUAACGGGGCUCAAACCAUGCACCGAAGCUACGGGUUCAACGCAAGUUGAGCGGUAGAGGAGCGUUCUGUAAGCCUGUGAAGGUGAGUUGAGAAGCUCGCUGGAGGUAUCAGAAGUGCGAAUGCUGACAUGAGUAACGACAAUGCGAGUGAAAAACUCGCACGCCGAAAGACCAAGGGUUCCUGCGCAACGUUAAUCGACGCAGGGUGAGUCGGUCCCUAAGGCGAGGCUGAAGAGCGUAGUCGAUGGGAAACGGGUUAAUAUUCCCGUACUUCUAGUUACUGCGAUGGGGGGACGGAGAAGGCUAGGCCAGCAAGGCGUUGGUUGUCCUUGUUUAAGGUGGUAGGCAGAGAUCUUAGGUAAAUCCGGGGUCUUAAUGCCGAGAGCUGAUGACGAGCUUUCUUUUAGAAAGCGAAGUGGUUGAUGCCAUGCUUCCAGGAAAAGCCUCUAAGCUUCAGGUAACUAGGAACCGUACCCCAAACCGACACAGGUGGUUGGGUAGAGAAUACCAAGGCGCUUGAGAGAACUCGGGUGAAGGAACUAGGCAAAAUGGCACCGUAACUUCGGGAGAAGGUGCGCCGGUGAGGGUGAAGUAUUUACUACGUAAGCCCAUGCCGGUCGAAGAUACCAGGCCGCUGCGACUGUUUAUUAAAAACACAGCACUCUGCAAACACGAAAGUGGACGUAUAGGGUGUGACGCCUGCCCGGUGCCGGAAGGUUAAUUGAUGGGGUUAGCGCAAGCGAAGCUCUUGAUCGAAGCCCCGGUAAACGGCGGCCGUAACUAUAACGGUCCUAAGGUAGCGAAAUUCCUUGUCGGGUAAGUUCCGACCUGCACGAAUGGCGUAACGAUGGCGGCGCUGUCUCCACCCGAGACUCAGUGAAAUUGAAAUCGCUGUGAAGAUGCAGUGUAUCCGCGGCUAGACGGAAAGACCCCGUGAACCUUUACUAUAGCUUUGCACUGGACUUUGAGCUUGCUUGUGUAGGAUAGGUGGGAGGCUUUGAAGCGUGGACGCCAGUUCGCGUGGAGCCA
rnacentral:rRNA from 1 species